AUACAAUGGAGAGUUUGAUCCUGGCUCAGGAUGAACGCUAGCGGCAGG
rnacentral:rRNA from 1 species